rnacentral:rRNA from 1 species
CGGAGGGUGCAAGCGUUGUCCGGAUUUAUUGGGUUUAAAGGGUGCGUAGGCGGCUAUUUAAGUCAGUGGUGAAAUCCUGCAGCUCAACUGUAGAACAGCCAUUGAUACUGAAUAGCUUGAGUACAGACGAGGUAGGCGGAAUUUAUGGUGUAGCGGUGAAAUGCAUAGAUACCAUAAAGAACCCCUAUUGCGAAGGCAGCUUACUAGGCUGUAACUGACGCUGAGGCACGAAAGCGUGGGGAUCAAACAGGAUUAGAUACCCUGGUAGUCCACGCCGUAAACGAUGAUUACUCGAUGUUCGCGAUAUACAGUGAGCGUCCAAGCGAAAGCGUUAAGUAAUCCACCUGGGAAGUACGAUCGCAAGAUUG